GGGGCUGUAGCUCAAUGGUAGAGCACUUGCCUAGCAUGCGUGAGGCACUGGGUUCAAUCCUCAGCACCA
rnacentral:tRNA from 1 species